rnacentral:rRNA from 1 species
UACCAGCACCCCGAGUGGUCGGGACGUUUAUUGGGCCUAAAGCAUCCGUAGCCGGUUCUACAAGUCUUCCGUUAAAUCCACCUGCUUAACAGAUGGGCUGCGGAAGAUACUAUAGAGCUAGGAGGCGGGAGAGGCAAGCGGUACUCGAUGGGUAGGGGUAAAAUCCGUUGAUCCAUUGAAGGCCCCCAGUGGCGAAGGCGGCUUGCCAGAACGCGCUCGACGGUGAGGGAUGAAAGCUGGGGGAGCAAACCGG